rnacentral:rRNA from 1 species
UACGGAGGGUGCAAGCGUUAAUCGGAAUUACUGGGCGUAAAGCGCACGUAGGUGGUUUGCUAAGCCAGCUGUGAAAUCCCCGGGCUCAACCUGGGCACUGCAGUUGGAACUGGCAAGCUAGAGUAGGGUAGAGGGGUGUGGAAUUCCAGGUGUAGCGGUGAAAUGCGUAGAUAUCUGGAGGAACAUCAGUGGCGAAGGCGACACCCUGGACUCAUACUGACACUGAGGUGCGAAAGCGUGGGGAUCAAACAGG